ACGGGUGAGUAACACGUGGGCAAUCUGCCCUUCACUCUGGGACAAGCCCUGGAAACGGGGUCUAAUACCGGAUACCACUUCCACUCGCAUGGGUGGGGGUUGAAAGCUUCGGCGGUGAAGGAUGAGCCCGCGGCCUAUCAGCUUGUUGGUGAGGUAACGGCUCACCAAGGCGACGACGGGUAGCCGGCCUGAGAGGGCGACCGGCCACACUGGGACUGAGACACGGCCCAGACUCCUACGGGAGGCAGCAGUGGGGAAUAUUGCACAAUGGGCGAAAGCCUGAUGCAGCGACGCCGCGUGAGGGAUGACGGCCUUCGGGUUGUAAACCUCUUUCAGCAGGGAAGAAGCGAAAGUGACGGUACCUGCAGAAGAAGCGCCGGCUAACUACGUGCCAGCAGCCGCGGUAAUACGUAGGGCGCAAGCGUUGUCCGGAAUUAUUGGGCGUAAAGAGCUCGUAGGCGGUCUGUCGCGUCGGAUGUGAAAGCCCGGGGCUUAACCCCGGGUCUGCAUUCGAUACGGGCAGACUAGAGUGUGGUAGGGGAGAUCGGAAUUCCUGGUGUAGCGGUGAAAUGCGCAGA
rnacentral:rRNA from 1 species